CAGAAGUGAUGUACAAAAAAUAUGCCCCCCAAAUAAUGCAUUUGUGAAAAAUUGCAAAUUUCGAACUUUUUAACACUGACUUUGU